rnacentral:tRNA from 1 species
GGGGAUGUAGCUCAGUGGCACAGCACCUGCCUGGCAAGCACAAGGCCCUGGGUUCGAUUCCUGGUACCA